AUUGAACGCUGGCGGCGUGCCUUACACAUGCAAGUCGAACGGCAGCGGGGGAGAAGCUUGCUUUUCCUGCCGGCGAGUGGCGAACGGGUGAGUAAUACAUCGGAACGUGCCCUGUAGUGGGGGAUAACUAGUCGAAAGAUUAGCUAACACCGCAUACGACCUGAGGGUGAAAGUGGGGGACCGCAAGGCCUCAUGCUAUAGGAGCGGCCGAUGUCUGAUUAGCUAGUUGGUGGGGUAAAGGCCUACCAAGGCGACGAUCAGUAGCUGGUCUGAGAGGACGAUCAGCCACACUGGGACUGAGACACGGCCCAGACUCCUACGGGAGGCAGCAGUGGGGAAUUUUGGACAAUGGGCGAAAGCCUGAUCCAGCAAUGCCGCGUGUGUGAAGAAGGCCUUCGGGUUGUAAAGCACUUUUGUCCGGAAAGAAAUGGCUCUGGUUAAUACCUGGGGUCGAUGACGGUACCGGAAGAAUAAGGACCGGCUAACUACGUGCCAGCCGCCGCAGUAA
rnacentral:rRNA from 1 species